UGUGGCUUCCAGCCUAAAAUGGAACUUCCUGGCACAGAUGAACUGCUGCAGGAGAGUAGAAUCACUAAGUCUUUCAUGGCAGAAACAUCAUUUCUCCUGAUGCAGACAUAUGAGGCCAUUAAUGGAGACAUAGUGGUUGGGAGAAGCAGCAGCAAGAGGAGGAGAAGGAGGCUCCCUGGUGUGCGACUCCCUCUCCACUGUGUCCACCCAUGCCUCACUCCUUGCCUGACACAGCAGGGGUCACACACAACAGCUCUUGGAAUGGAGAGGGCACCUGAGCCUGUGGGGAGGGCAGGGCCGGGAUCCUGGGGCUGGAGAGGUGGUGCUCAGGUGUUUUAGGAACCUUCCUAUAUGUCCAGGCUCUCCAAGUUUCUUCUCAGAAAAAUGAAUGGCUUUGGAUAUCCAGGAAACAAUGCCUCAUCUCCAAAAGAUUUCAAGUCACUUAAAAAAAAUUAGUCACAUUUAAACAGGAAGGUGCCUUCUGGGCUGUCUGAAGCAACCCUUGGAAAUGAACUUCAAGUUUUCCAUGUAUGGGUCAGUUUAACUUUGGUUCCUAAGCAACUGCUGAGUAGACCAAAAUACUGAGUGUGAUAACAACCACAGCAGCACUUACCUUUCAUCAUGAAAGUAACUCUUGUCUUUCCCAAGCUUGCAAAGGACAAUGAAAACACUGAACUCUGCUGUUGCUGGGUGGGGUUAUUCAACUCUAGCUAUGGUGAUGACAGCUUGUCCCAGAGAGAUUGCAGUUCCCCACCACAGAAAGGGCCCAAGACUAUGUGAAUACCAUAGCAUCUUACAUAAAAAGCACUUCAGCAGUCCUUGUACUCUGGAGGGUGAGGCAGGGACACUGGAAGAAGCCAGUAAUGCCACUGGUAAGAAAUUCAGAUUAUUAUUUUUUUUUGUGGUAUUGGGGAUUGAACCCAGAGCCUUCAUGUUGAAUUACAGCUCUAGCCCUUUUUGAGAUGAUCUUGCUAAUUUCCCCAAGCAGGCCUAGAACUUGUAAUGCUUCUGCCUCAGCCUCCCAGACUGCCAGGAUUACAAGUGUGCACCACCAUAUCCAGCUAGAUUAUUAUUUAAAAGUUGGUAGGCUUGCCAUUCAUUUUCUGGAGGUUUUCUUUUUAGUCAAAGGAACAAAAUUAGUUACAAUUAGCUAGGAAUUUGAACUUCAGCCAUUGGCAUCUGCAAGGCUGGACUAAGAUGACUUGUGCCACCUUGGACCAUCUCCUCUGGAUCUUUAUGAUUCACUCUUACCAAGCUGGUGCAUGCACCGCCCACCGCCCCCCAGCAAAAUCAAUCCUACCAAACAAACUGCCCUCAGGAAGUCCUAUGAAAGUGCCCAGAGGUUAAUUAUCACAGCCAUCCAUGUUACUUUACAAGGGUGAUGAAUUAAACUUGCACAUGUUCUUAUAGUGUGAAUGUUAACAAUUUUCCAAAAGUGUCUCAUUCUUUUCAUUGUGAAGUUUCAACUACCACCUUGGUAUCCACAGUCUGGCAUUAGUCUAAAAUCAUUUAUUUUCUGAAGUCUGUUAUAACUGCACAUAUUGUUUGCUCAGCGGAACAAUUUAUUAUAAAAAUUUAGUUCCCUCACCUUUUUACGAGCUGACAAAACAGCUUUCACUCAUCUAUUAACCUGCACUGCCUUAUGCUCUGCUCUGACUUCGAAUAGUGGAUAAUUUCAGUUUGGCCUAGAAUAUACAGUUCAUUCAAUCUACUCCCUACAGAUCAUUUUAAGGUAUUCUCUGGGCUAACACACAUUUUUUUUUUUUAACACACAAUUUUUAUGAGCAACUUCAAAGGACAUGGUCAAGGUUGAUACAAAGGAAAUUAUACCCAUGCUAGAAACUGUGUCUCAUUUCAUAAGAGCCUUCUAAAUGCUGGCAUCCAGCACUAGGACAAAGCUUGUGCAUAUUUCAAUACCCAAACAACCACACUGACAAGGGAGAUGUUAAAAUAGAGGACACUCAGCCCUCUUUAUCUGCAAGUUUCACAUUUGUGUAUUCAACUAGCCAUGGAGCAAAAAUAUUUGGAAAAAAUUUCAUUUGCACUACACACACUGACUUUUUCUUGUCAUUAUUCUCUAAACAAUACACUAUGACAAUUAUUUACUCAGCAUGUACAUUGCAUUAGAUAUAAGAUGACAGAAU
ensembl:lincRNA